UACGUAGGGUGCAAGCGUUAUCCGGAAUUAUUGGGCGUAAAGAGCUCGUAGGCGGUUUGUCACGUCUGCUGUGAAAACUGGAGGCUCAACCUCCAGCCUGCAGUGGGUACGGGCAGACUAGAGUGCGGUAGGGGAGAUUGGAAUUCCUGGUGUAGCGGUGGAAUGCGCAGAUAUCAGGAGGAACACCGAUGGCGAAGGCAGAUCUCUGGGCCGUAACUGACGCUGAUGCGCGAAAGCCAGGGGAGCGAACGGG
rnacentral:rRNA from 1 species